AGGGGUAAAAUUAUCAUUUCGUUUAAAUUAUUUAACGAUGUUAGUUCAAAAGUAACUAAUUAAUACAAAUUUAAAAAGAAAUGCGGUGUAAAAAACAUGUUAGAAUUUUAUGGUGGUUGGAUGAACAUAAGGUAAAAGAGAGGUGGUGCAAUGAUAAUUUCCCUUUUCUUUUUUCUAAUGGUGGCAUAUGAGGAGAGGUUGAAAUUGCUUAAAAAACGACAGACCACCACUAAUUUUGUUAGAUAUAUAUUGUAAAAUUCUCGAGCUUUUAUUAUUAAUUCUGUCAAAAUUAUUUUAUAAUUAUGAGAGCAUAAAAGUUGGGAAGUCAGUAAGUCUAGAAUUUGAUGCUUAAAAAUUUUUAAAAUUGUAGUUUAGCAUCUGGAAAUUUAACUAAGAGUGCUGCAUGAAUUUUAUUUAUUGUUAAAUAUUAGUAUGAGAAAUUAAAGGUAACUUUUCAAUUUCACCUGAUGUUAAGAGAAUGAAAGCCAGACAAACUGGCUGCUUCCUUCAAAGCUUUCCUCCAAGUCUGCAGCUUCUCUGGAUUCUCCUUAAAUCUUUCUUCAAGCUUCGAAAAUGAAAUCC
rnacentral:lncRNA from 1 species